UUAAGUUCAGCGGGUAGUCCUACCUGAUUUGAGGUCAAAUUGUCAAAAAUGUCCAAGUCAAUGGACGGUUAGAAGCUGAACUUCAUAAAUCUGCUUCACAUCCACGGCGUAGAUAAUUAUCACACCAAUAGACGGUCCACAAAAGUUCCGCUAAUGCAUUUAAGGAGAGCUGACCUCAUUAAUGAAGCCCACAACCCCCA
rnacentral:misc_RNA from 1 species